UACGGAGGAUGCGAGCGUUAUCCGGAUUUAUUGGGUUUAAAGGGUGCGUAGGCGGACGCUUAAGUCAGCGGUAAAAUUGCGGGGCUCAACCUCGUCGAGCCGUUGAAACUGGGUGCCUUGAGUGGGCGAGAAGUACGCGGAAUGCGUGGUGUAGCGGUGAAAUGCAUAGAUAUCACGCAGAACUCUGAUUGCGAAGGCAGCGUACCGGCGCCCAACGGACGCUGAAGCACGAAGGCGUGGGUAUCGAACAGG
rnacentral:rRNA from 1 species